GUGGAUUUAGAACCACUUUAAAUGAGGUUUGUCCAAUUUGUCCGCUCAUAGAUUUAUUUUAAAGGAUCACUCUGAGUGCCACAACGACAGCAGCCUGCUGUAGCUAUGGUGCAAUGGUUUCCCUCAUGCACACCCAGAGUAAGUAGUCUUGCUGGCACUAGUCACCCUUUCCCCUGUUGUCAGAAGCUCCUAACCAGAAGCAUUUGAGAGAGACGACACUCUCAACCAAUGCAUGCAUGGCUGGCGUUGCUAGUCGACAGGAGAUUCUAGCAACAGCGGAGGCGGAACCCAGGUGAAUUAUCAAACCAUACUUGCAAGAUUUGAC